UCUCAGUUUCAAAAAAUUGACCCUUAUUACUGGUUUUGUGGUCCUGGGUCACAUAUAUGAAUGUCAUUGAAUUAGACAUUAAAUGACAAUGAAUGACAAAUGAUAGCCAUAAAACAGUCAAAACCUUCUACUCCGUUUAUGCCGCUUCAUGUCUUUCGUGCUGACCUGCUAACAAACAAAAAGCCCUAAAUGCAUCGUCGCUAAAACCUCGAAAUCACAUCUUAUGUAGGGGACAGCGAUGACACUGUUGAUCUCUGUGAGGAAAUGCUGCAGAUCUCCAUGUUGGUGAAGGAGCUCCCGGCCUCACUGCCGCAUUCUGGGAAUGAAGAGCUGGAGGAUAUGAUGUUCUUCAGCCUGUGGAGAGCAAUGAUCAGCAGGGCAACCUGCAUAUCAGUGGGCUCAUGAGCUGGUGCAGGUUGUUGAUAGGCCACUGCCGGUCCAUUAGGACUUUGGGGUGGUCACACCGGCCCAGUGGUGCACACAGAAGAGAGUCUGGCGCAGACUGGCAUAUGGAUGGAGUUUCAGAUGCAAGCGGUGGGGCAGAGCUAUGCAUGUCAAUAGGACCGAGCCGUCAUGCCCCCUGGGAAGGUCUUAUCUCUUCUGCUCUGCGCACUGAAGACACGGAACACAGAUUAUGGAUCGACGCAAAGCAAAGCAUGACUGUCUGGCACAGAUCG